GUGCUGGCUUCUGCAGCACAUAUACUAAUAUUGGAAAGAUACAGAGAAGAUUAGCAUGACCCCUGCCCAAGGAUGACAUGCAAAUUCAUGAAGCAUUCCUUUUUUUU
rnacentral:snRNA from 1 species